CAGGACGAACGCUGGCGGCGUGCCUAACACAUGCAAGUCGAGCGAGGAGAUCCUUCGGGAUGAUCCUAGCGGCGGACGGGUGAGUAACACGUGGGCAACCUGCCUCAUAGAGAGGAAUAGCCUUCCGAAAGGGAGAUUAAUACCUCAUAACAUUGCAGUUUCGCAUGGAACAGCAAUUAAAGGAGUAAUCCGCUAUGAGAUGGGCCCGCGGCGCAUUAGCUAGUUGGUGAGGUAAUGGCUCACCAAGGCGACGAUGCGUAGCCGACCUGAGAGGGUGAUCGGCCACAUUGGGACUGAGACACGGCCCAGACUCCUACGGGAGGCAGCAGUGGGGAAUAUUGCACAAUGGGGGAAACCCUGAUGCAAGCAACGCCGCGUGAGUGAUGACGGCCUUCGGGUUGUAAAGCUCUGUCUUCAGGGACGAUAAUGACGGUACCUGAGGAGGAAGCCACGGCUAACUACGUGCCAGCAGCCGC
rnacentral:rRNA from 1 species